rnacentral:rRNA from 1 species
AAAGGAAUUGACGGGGACCCGCACAAGCAGUGGAGCAUGUGGUUUAAUUCGAUGCAACGCGAAGAACCUUACCCAGGCUUGACAUGCAGUAGACCGGUUUAGAGAUAGACCUUUCCUUCGGGACUGCUGCACAGGUGCUGCAUGGCUGUCGUCAGCUCGUGCCGUGAGGUGUUGGGUUAAGUCCCGCAACGAGCGCAACCCUUAUCGUUAGUUGCCAGCAUUUUAGGUGGGAACUCUAACGAGACUGCCUGGGUUAACCAGGAGGAAGGUGAGGAUGAUGUCAAGUCCGCAUGGCCCUUAUGUCUGGGGCUACACACGUGCUACAAUGGCCGAUACAGAAGGAAGCAAAUCCGCGAGGUGGAGCAAAUCCCGAAAGUCGGCCCCAGUUCAGAUUGUAGUCUGCAACUCGACUACAUGAAGAUGGAAUUGCUAGUAAUGGCGAGUCAGCAACAUCGCCGUGAAUACGUUCCCGGGUCUUGUACACACCGCCCGU